rnacentral:rRNA from 1 species
UACCAGCACCCCGAGUGGUCGGGACGAUUAUUGGGCCUAAAGCAUCCGUAGCCGGCCUUACAAGUCCUCCGUUAAAUCCAGCUGCUUAACAGAUGGGCUGCGGAGGAUGACUAUAAGACUAGGAGGCAGGAGAGGCAAGCGGUACUCAGUGGGUAGGGGUAAAAUCCGUUGAUCCAUUGAAGACCACCAGUGGCGAAGGCGGCUUGCCAGAAUGGCGCUCGGACGGUGAGGGAUGAAAGCUGGGGGAGCAAACCGG